rnacentral:rRNA from 1 species
ACGCUGGCGGCGUGCCUAACACAUGCAAGUCGAACGGACGAGGGGAGCUUGCUCCCCGAGUUAGUGGCGAACGGGGUGAGUAACGCGUGAGCAACCUGCCUUUCAGAGGGGGGACAACGGUUGGAAACGACCGCUAAUACCGCAUGAAGCAAUCGGACCGCAUGAUCUGAUUGCCAAAGAUUUUUAUCGCUGAAAGAUGGGCUCGCGUCUGAUUAGAUAGUUGGUGGGGUAACGGCUCACCAAGUCGACGAUCAGUAGCCGGACUGAGAGGUUGAACGGCCACAUUGGGACUGAGAUACGGCCCAGACUCCUACGGGAGGCAGCAGUGGGGAAUAUUGGGCCAAUGGGGGAAACCCUGACCCAGCAACGCCGCGUGAAGGAAGAAGGCUUUCGGGUUGUAAACUUCUUUUACCAGGGACGAAGGACGUGACGGUACCUGGAGAAAAAGCCACGGCUAACUACGUGCCAGCCGCCGC